UACACACCGCCCGUCACGCUAUGGAAGCCGGUAACACCUGAAGUCGCUGGGCUAACCGCAAGGAGGCAGGCGCCGAAGGUGGGAUCGGUAACUGGAGCG
rnacentral:rRNA from 1 species